rnacentral:rRNA from 1 species
AUUGAACGCUGGCGGCAUGCUUUACACAUGCAAGUCGGACGGCAGCACAGGGAAGCUUGCUUCUUGGGUGGCGAGUGGCGAACGGGUGAGUAACAUAUCGGAACGUACCGAGCAGUGGGGGAUAACUAAUCGAAAGAUUAGCUAAUACCGCAUAUUUUCUGAGGAAGAAAGCAGGGGACCUUUGGGCCUUGCGCUGUUUGAGCGGCCGAUAUCUGAUUAGCUAGUUGGUGGGGUAAAGGCCUACCAAGGCGACGAUCAGUAGCGGGUCUGAGAGGAUGAUCCGCCACACUGGGACUGAGACACGGCCCAGACUCCUACGGGAGGCAGCAGUGGGGAAUUUUGGACAAUGGGCGCAAGCCUGAUCCAGCCAUGCCGCGUGUCUGAAGAAGGCCUUCGGGUUGUAAAGGACUUUUGUCAGGGAAGAAAAGGGCGGGGUUAAUACCCCUGUCUGAUGACGGUACCUGAAGAAUAAGCACCGGC